CUGUCGAUUCCCUCUCCGUGCCUCCUCCUCUGCCGUGUCGCUGCGCCGCCGCAUGCUUCUUCCCCCCUCUCCGCGCCUCCUCCUCUACCAGUCGCUGCGCUGCCGGCUCAGCCGCUUCUCCUGCGCCUUCUCCUCCCCGCUCGUCGCUGAGUCAUCGACCAGAUCGGCGUCCAUGUUCAGCAGCGGCGGCGGCAUCUUCAGCGGAGGAGGCGGGUGGUCAUGGCGGCGGCAUCUUCAGGGGCGUCACCGGAAGGAGGGGGGGCAGCCGUGCCCGGACGAGGUCGUCCCCAACUCCUGCAUCUAGUCGUUGACCUUACCCACACUGUAGUCGCCGCUGCUGGUCGAGGUCACCCAGGUUGACACCGGCCCCGCCGGACUGCAGGUCAUCCUGCCUGACAUGGUAUUUGGCAAUACUGGCUCUUGGGCUGCCCAAUUGAUCACUGAAGCUGGUGGCAAGGUGGUCUCCAUCAGAGAUGUCACAGGGACUGUCAAGAACUCCAAUGGCAUUGACAUAGCCAAGCUGAUGAAGCACUUGGCAGAGAACCGCGGGAUCAAGGGCUUUGACGGAGGCGACGCCGUCGACCCGACCUCGCUGCUCACGGAAGAGUGCGACGUGCUCAUCCCUGCAGCUCUGGGAGGAGUCAUAAACAAGGACAAUGCUGAUGCCAUCAAAGCAAAGUACAUCAUCGAGGCUGUUAACCACCCAACAGACCCCGAGGCCAACAAGGCAAGAACACCAACAUUUUGCCACAAAACUAAGCUGCAUUUGUUGACACAUUCACGCAUUGACUGCCAGCAGAGAAAUGUUCAUGUUCGUGGUGCAGAUUCUGGCAAAGAAGGGCGUGCUGAUCCUAUCGGACAUCAUGGCCAACUCCGGGGGAGUGAUGGUGAGCUGCUUCGAGUGGGCCGCUGGGCGUCCAAGAGGCACUUGACCUUUUCGGAUCACACUGCCAUUGGCGUAAUCCAGGCCGGAUCUAUGGAGAGCCCGGCGCAACACCAUCACAGAUUGAUAAGGGCCGGAGCUUCAAUGACAAAUCUACUAUAUUUAGCACACAACCCAACUCAGCAGGCACGAGCCAUGUCGACAAUCGGGGUGGCACUCGGGUGCAUGCUCGCCUCGACAGUCAUCAAGGUCGCAAUAGAGUCGGUGGAGGCUGUGCUCGGCGACGCUGAGAGAGAGUCUAUCGAGCAUAAGUCCAUGCUGUUGUGGCUGAACCGACUUAUGGAUACCGACAUGCUUGAAGAUUUUGAAGAUGAAACCGACCUCAACCUGUGGGCAGCCACGAUGAAGAAGAUUAAGAUGCCACAUAACAUGAGAUCGAUGCAAAAGCGCAUAUAAAAUAUAAAAGAGGACCGUGAGGAGCAGCAAGGUCCCGACAUCCAGGAUACAGCAGGAUAUGUGGAGGAGGCAGAAAUCAUCUGGUGGACUGAUGAUUGCAUAUCUUGGAGCAGCAGUUAUUUCCCCCUCCUUUUGAUACAGUGGUUGGAGUCAGUAGGUAGUGAUUAGAGAGAGGCUGGCAUUUGACAAUAUGAUUUUGUGUGUGCAUUGACUGCUGGUGCUACAGCCUGUAAUUUUUCUUGUGGAGUGGACCAAGUAAUCCAUCAAGCUAGCUGCAUUAUUGAUUCUGUUCCUUUUGCUGGCAAGGUCUCCAACUUCCCUUUUGAGGUCUCCAACUUCGUCCUCUAGCUUGGACAACCUAGGUUGAGUGGCAAUUUUACCCCUUAUGUUUAUCACGUCCUCAGUCAUGGUGGAUGAAGAGGAAGCAAUACCAUCGUAUCGCACAGGCUAGGAGGGUGCUGGCCGUUGGCUCCGAUCCCCUGGGUGGCUGGGUGUGGCUGGCGGCUCCAAUCAUCCCGGUUAGAAGGGUGUCGUUGGCGUUCGAGCUGACUGCGUGUAGUGUCCACGGAGAGAGUUCGACGCCGGCGACGAGCAUAGAGAGGCGGAUCAUGAUGCUAUGGAUGGAGCAAAUUUCAGAGAAAACCCAUAAGAUCUCAUGAUGGGUUCAUGCAUAGAAUAAGAGGAACCCAUUCUUUGGUUUUAAAUCAUCUCAUGCGUUGCCUUAGUUGUAACUGAUGACAUGAGCCGGCAUUCUCACCUUCAAUCCAAUGUGUGGAUGCAGAACAAGCAGUGAUGUCGUAUUCCGCAGGCCGGAUGGGCGGUCGCCAGCGGCUCCGUUCCCGUGGGUGAGGACGGCAGGUCCGUUACAGCCGGUGAACAGGGCGGCGGCUCUGUUACAGCCGGUGAACAGGGCAGCGAUGUUCGAUGGGACUGGCAUUGGAGAAGGUCGCGUGUGAGAAGGCGCCUGGAAUGGAAUAUGAGUGGAGAAUCUGCGUUGGAGCCGGCUAGGCCAGUUGGAUCGAAGGUUGUUGCAGAUAAUGGGGGAGGUGGGAGCUUGGUAGGGCCGAUAGAUACGGCAGUGAU